GUGUGAGUGAUGAAGAAAAUCAGACGGAUUCCCAAUGAUUUUUGCUCAAAAAAUGAUAUUUACCAGCUACUUCUGACACAC
rnacentral:snoRNA from 1 species